GGACGUAUGGUCUAGUGGUUAAGACGUCUCGGCUGCAAAAUGUUCGUUGCCUUGAAACUGUUACAAUGAUAUGACAGGUGAAAGGGUUCGAAUGAUACAAUGCUCCCUGAGAAGGUCCCGGGUUCGAACCCCGAUACGUUCA
rnacentral:tRNA from 1 species